rnacentral:rRNA from 1 species
UUAAAUUGAAGAGUUUGAUCAUGGCUCAGAUUGAACGCUGGCGGCAGGCCUAACACAUGCAAGUCGAACGGUAACAGGAAUCAGCUUGCUGAUUCGCUGACGAGUGGCGGACGGGUGAGUAAUGUCUGGGAAACUGCCUGAUGGAGGGGGAUAACUACUGGAAACGGUAGCUAAUACCGCAUAACGUCGCAAGACCAAAGAGGGGGACCUUCGGGCCUCUUGCCAUCGGAUGUGCCCAGAUGGGAUUAGCUAGUAGGUGGGGUAACGGCUCACCUAGGCGACGAUCCCUAGCU